rnacentral:rRNA from 1 species
GUGGGGAAUAUUGGACAAUGGGGGGAACCCUGAUCCAGCCAUGCCGCGUGUGUGAAGAAGGCCUUUUGGUUGUAAAGCACUUUAAGCGAGGAGGAGGCUACCGAGAUUAAUACUCUUGGAUAGUGGACGUUACUCGCAGAAUAAGCACCGGCUAACUCUGUGCCAGCAGCCGCGGUAAUACAGAGGGUGCAAGCGUUAAUCGGAUUUACUGGGCUUAAAGCGCGCGUAGGUGGCCAAUUAAGUCAAAUGUGAAAUCCCCGAGCUUAACUUGGGAAUUGCAUUCGAUACUGGUUGGCUAGAGUAUGGGAGAGGAUGGUAGAAUUCCAGGUGUAGCGGUGAAAUGCGUAGAGAUCUGGAGGAAUACCGAUGGCGAAGGCAGCCAUCUGGCCUAAUACUGACACUGAGGUGCGAAAGCAUGGGGAGCAAACAGGAUUAGAAACCCGGGUAGUCC